rnacentral:rRNA from 1 species
UACGAAGGGGGCUAGCGUUGUUCGGAUUUACUGGGCGUAAAGCGCACGUAGGCGGAUUGUUAAGUCAGGGGUGAAAUCCCGGAGCUCAACUCCGGAACUGCCUUUGAUACUGGCAAUCUUGAGGCUGGAAGAGGUUAGUGGAAUUCCCAGUGUAGAGGUGAAAUUCGUAGAUAUUGGGAAGAACACCAGUGGCGAAGGCGACUUACUGGACACAUAUUGACGCUGAGGUGCGAAAGCGUGGGGAGCAAACAGG